rnacentral:lncRNA from 1 species
AUUUCUCUAAGGCAUGCUCCCUGGAGUAAAGUAGCUGGUGUGAUUAAUCUUCUUCCAUUCACCCUUCCCAAGGCCACCCUCCACCCUCUGCUAUCCUGUCCUGGGCCUUGACAGGCUGAAUUUUCUGGACUAAUCAGGCCCCCUUGCUUUCUGCUUCCUGUUGUGUUUGCCCAAUGAAGAGGACCAAAGCUCUGGAUCAUGCCUCCCGGUCUCAGUGACCAGGCUGAGAAGGAAGAGAACAUCUCCUAGGACCAGUGUGGUCUAUGAAGCCCAAGACUGCUGGACAACAUCUGGGGACAGCCUCACAGUUCACACCGACAUGUGAAAUGUUCACACUAACGAAAAGUCAGGAGAGACGCUUGGGGAGACACAAGAAGAAAAGGCAGAUUCCACCAAAGCCUUCAUAUGCAUCCUCUCAUAAAUCUUCAGACAGGAGAUGCCAUGGCUGGAUUCCUCUCGGUUGCAUGAAAGGUUUUGAGCAGGACAGACAUUAGAAGCUGAUCUUGCUCCUGGACCUGCCACUCAAGCACUCGUGAGAUUAAAUGGUAUCAGAUGAUGAAACCACGUGAUGGAAAAAGGAAGAGGGACCGCAAGAGGCACACCUAUUUCUUAAAAUCCCAGGCCAGAAGUGGCACACCCUACUCGCAUUCCAUGCUCUUGCCAGAUUGUGAGCUCCUUCAGGCCAAGGGCCUCACUCCUUUCAUGGCUAUGUACCCAGCACCUGGCAGCAGUGAUGAGGACCAUUGGAUGAGCAAAUAACCUGAGUCAGGACCAGCUCAGCAACUGGGUGGCUGAUUCAGCUGGCAGGAGGUCUUCCCUGCAAACAGCUGAGCCAGACCGGAGAAGACAGAAAUGCCACCGCAGGUCACAGAAGGGAUCUACACAGAAGAAAAGAAAAGACAAGGAGAAUGAUUUGGCGCCACUGAGAGCUUUGCAUCUUCAUCUUCAUGGUACUUCUCAGGCCAGAGAUUACUCAGUCUCUGAGACCUCUGAAACACCUAUUCUUCACAGCGAACACAUGUAGUCCAUCCCAUGUACCAACAGAUAUUCACA